rnacentral:lncRNA from 1 species
CGGGAGGCUGGGCUUGCAGCGGGGAAGACCCCACACAAAUCGCUGUCUCCCCAUACCUUACGGACUGAUGCGGUCGGAUCAGGCUUCGGGCAGGGGCGUGGAGCGCUGCCGCGUCCUCGCCGCCGAGCGAUCUCCGCUCCGACACGGCCGGGGCGCCGUUUCUGCGGCCGAGAGGGAAAGUUUCUCGACGUCGAGACAGCGCUGGACUCGGGACCCUCCGGCCCCGGUGCCCUCCCUCUUCGCGCUCUCUGCCCCCUCCCUCCUCUUCCCAACCCGCUGAAGCUAAAACUGGCGGCGGCUGGGGCUCGAGGCUCGGGACUCCGGGUCGCUCCCGGCUGGGAACGCGGGGCUCCCCCUCUCGGCCAGAAGGAAACUCUCAGACUCCGGCUGGCGCACUUCUGGCGGUCUCCUUGGACACUUCCAAACGGGACGCCUGUGUUCGAGCUCUCAGACUUGCUUCAGUCUCUGAUGGUCGUUUCCCCCGGGCCCACUGGGCUGUCUGGCGUUUGCAGGCGGGACCAAAGGAGGAGAAUGAAAUGUGAGGGAAACGCCACUGUGGCAGGAGAGGCCUCACCUUACCCUGUGCGGAGCCGGGACAGAAGCAAAAACACAGUCCGUGUCCUUGUCAAUAACCAACCUCCCGUGGCUGUCGCAGUCCCUCCUCUGGGUGGCCAGGCCAUUUCUCUGCAGGAAUAUCUUCAUUAUCCUGCUCAGGGGCCCACAACUCAAGACGGACUCCUGUAUCCUCACCCACGGAGGGUUCCAGCACACUGUGCCAGGCGGCCAUCUGUGUGAUUUCCUCUGCAUCUUGUUUGGGCUCCAACUCAUUACACAAGGCUGCUCCUCCAGGAGAACACCCUCUUCCCCACAUUUGGGCUUCCUCAGCCCUCUCUGGGCCUCUACAGUCCCCCCAUCCCAGGACCAACACAGGUGUUUACCUCACUUUGCCACUCCUAAUAGAUAUCAUUCAUAUUGCCAAAGUAGUUCUGGAAAGUUAACAAAAAUGUACCCUCCCAUGAGCAGCAUAUUAGUGAGUGCCAUUUCUUCAACACAUAACACUUGUUAUUUUAUUUUUUUACCUAUGUUACCUAGUUAGUAAGAAACAGGUACAGAUGCCUGUGUGAAUCAUGCUUCCUGGUGUGUUUGGCAUACCAUCAUCCUGCAAGUUCCCACAGACCCUUCUCGAUUUUAUUUCAUGAUGCACUUUUACCUUCAUUCUCCCCCAUUCACUUAACCCAACACAAGUACUCAUUCUAAUGUGCUCUAAUAUGUAUCUUUUUUUAAAGUUUAUGUGUACUCUUGCAAAAUAUUUAUUUUUUAUGCUUUUUAAUGUAUGUAAAUGCUAUUGGGCAAAAUACUCCAUUUCAUUGUUACUUUUUUCUCCAAACAUCUUUAAUUUUCAAGUAAGUUAAGUGAAAAAUUAGCUCAAUUAUUGGUUAACUUUCACUGUUAAUAAAGCUGAGAAUGUUUUCA